UCCCCCGUGGCGCAAUUGGCUAGCGCGUUCGACUGUUACCCGAACUUGACUCUCACGACCGAGCAGCACAUCGAGAGGUUGGUGGUUCAAGCCCACCCGGGGGAG
rnacentral:tRNA from 1 species